ACGGGUGAGUAACGCGUGGGAACGUGCCUUCCGGUUCGGAAUAACCCUGGGAAACUAGGGCUAAUACCGGAUACGCCCUUAUGGGGAAAGGUUUACUGCCGGAAGAUCGGCCCGCGUCUGAUUAGCUAGUUGGUGGGGUAACGGCCUACCAAGGCGACGAUCAGUAGCUGGUCUGAGAGGAUGAUCAGCCACACUGGGACUGAGACACGGCCCAGACUCCUACGGGAGGCAGCAGUGGGGAAUAUUGGUCAAUGGGCGCAAGCCUGAUCCAGCCAUGCCGCGUGAGUGAUGAAGGCCUUAGGGUUGUAAAGCUCUUUUAUCCGGGACGAUAAUGACGGUACCGGAGGAAUAAGCCCCGGCUAACUUCGUGCCAGCAGCCGCGGUAAUACGAAGGGGGCUAGCGUUGCUCGGAAUCACUGGGCGUAAAGGGCGCGUAGGCGGCGUUUUAAGUCGGGGGUGAAAGCCUGUGGCUCAACCACAGAAUGGCCUUCGAUACUGGGACGCUUGAGUAUGGUAGAGGUUGGUGGAACUGCGAGUGUAGAGGUGAAAUUCGUAGA
rnacentral:rRNA from 1 species